AAAACUAAAAGAAAGUUUCCAAUUCUUUCUUUUUUUGUAAGAACUUUUUAGGGUUUUUGAACCCAUUUUUUUUUGCACCGCCACCACUAGGUCGUCCCUUGGCCUCCAACGGCACCCCGCCUCCGAUUGCGACGGAGAGGGGACACCAUGACGGCACCAGGUACGUGCUUGAGGAGCGGUGUUUGCGGAGAAACGGCACGCGUGGAGGCCGAAACUUGCGGCGACUGGAGACUACUGGAGCGUUUGAGGGCGGCGGCAACUUGCUGCUACUAGGGUUUCCUGCUUUUAUUUAAGUAUUGGGCUAUUUAGUUAUUGGGCUAAGGUUAAAUAUUUGGGCUUGUUUGUUGGUCUGGGCCCGGGCAUAUUUGGGUUUGUACAACCUUGACAUAGAUGAAAAAUUAACGUUUAUUAACUUUGCCGA